rnacentral:lncRNA from 1 species
CCAGGAGUGGGAUUGCUGGAUCAUUUGGUAAUUCUAUUUUUAGUUUUUUGAAGAUUCUCCAUACUCUUACCAACUUACAUUUCCACCAACAGUUGUAGGAGGGUUUCCUUUUCUCCACACCUUGUCCAGCAUUUGUGAUUUGUAGACUUUUCAAUGGUGGCUAUUCUAACCGCUGUGAGGUGGUACCUCACUGUAGUUUUGAUUUGCAUUUCUCUAAUAAUUAGCAAUGUCGGCCAUCUUUUCAUGGUCCUACAGCCAUCUGUGUGUCUUCUUUGGAGAAACGUCUGUGUCUUCUGCCCAUUCUUCAAUUGGGUUAUUUAGUUUUUCGUUGCUGAGUUGUGUGCGCUGUUGUGUAUUUUGGAAGUUAGGCCAAUGUCAGUAGUUUCUGCUACGCCACGACGGGAACUCCAUAAAAAGCUUUUAUUAUGUUGACAUAUGUUCCCUCUAUACCCACUUUGGUAAGAGUUUUUAUUAUGACUGGAUGUUGAAUUUUGUCAAAUGCGUUUUUCUGCAUCUAUUGAAGUGAUCAUGUGGUUUUUGUCUUUGUUGAUGGGUUGUCAUUGUUGAUAUGUUGUUGAUUGAUUUGCACAUGUUAAACCAUCCUUGUGAUUCUGGGAUGAAUGGAACUUCGUCAUCGUGUGUGAUUUUUUUUUUUUUUUUUUGUCUUUUUUGAGGGCCACAACUGCGGCACGUGGAAGUGCCCAGGCUAGGGGUCCAAUUGGAGCUGUUUGCCACUGGCCUACACCACAGCCACAGCCACACCAGAUCCAAGCUGCAUCUGUGACCCACACCACAGCUUAUGGAAACGCCGGAUCCUCAACCCACUGAGCAAGGCCGGGGAUCGAACCUGCAACCCCACGGUUCCUAGUCAGAUUCAUUUCUGCUGCGCCACGAUGGAAACUCCAGACUUUUUUUUUUUUUUUUAAUGUAAUGCUGGAUUCGGUUUGGUAAUAUUUUGUUGAGAAUUUUUACAUCUAUAUUCACCAAAGAUAUUGGCCUGUAAUUUCCUUUUUUGGUGGUAUCUUUGGUUUUGGUAUGAUGGUGGUGGUGAUGGUGGCUUUAUAGAAUGUCUUGAGGCGUGUUCCCUCCUCUGCAGUCUUUUGGAAGAGUUUGAGAAGAGUUGGUAAAAGUUCCUCUUUAUAUGUUUGGUAGACUUCCCCAGAUGGUGAAACCAACUUGUCUUGGACUUUUGUUUGUAGGGACUUUUAAAAAUUAUAGAUUCUCUUUCAUGUCUAGUGAUUGGUCUGCUGAAAUUACCUGUUUCUUCUUGAUUCAACUUUGGUGGGCUCUAAGUUUCUAGAAAUUUGUCCAUUUCUUUAGGUUGUCCAAUUUGUCGUUAUGUAAUUGUUCACAGUAUUCUCUUAUGGUUUUUUGUAUUUCUGUGGUCAGUUGAUAUUUCUCCUUUUUCAUUUCUUAUUUAUUUGGGUUCUCUCUGUUUUCUUCUUGAUGAGCCUGGCUAGAGGUUUGUCAACUUUGUUUACCCUUUCAUAGAACCAGCUAUUGGUUUUAUUCAUUUUUUUUCUAUUUUAAUCUCUAUUUCAUGUAUUUCCUUGCUGAUCUUUAUUAUUUCCUUCCUUCUGCUGCUGACUUUAGGUUUUAUUUAGUCUGUUUUUUUUUUUAGGGCCACUCCCGCUGGCAUAUGGAGGUUCCCAGGCUAGGGGUCUAAUCGGAGCUGCAGCUGCCAGCCUAUGCCACAGCCCCAGCUACGUGGGAUCUGAACUGCGUCUGCAACCUACACCACAGCUCAUGGCAACACCGGAUCCUUAAUCCAGUGAACAAAGCCAGGGAUUGAAAAUGUGUCCUCAUGGAUCCUAGUUGGGUUCCUUAACCACUGAGCCACAAAGGGAACUCCCCUAGUCUUCUUUUGCUAAUUGUUUUAGGUGAUAAGUUAGGUUGUUUAUAUGAGGGGUUUUUUUUUUGUUUAAAGAAGGCCUGUGAUGUUGCAUCUGAUAAUCACUUUUCUACAUCCCACAGACUUUGUAUGGUUGUGUUUUCAUUGUCAAUUGUCUCAGAUAUUUUUUAAAUUUUCUCUUUGAUUUCCUCAUUGACCUAUUGAUUUUUUAGUAGCAUGUUGUUUAGUCUCCAUGUAAUCAUUUUUUUUUCAUUUCUCUUUAUGUAAUUCAUUUCUAGUUUCAUGCCACUGUAUUUGAAAAAGAUGCUUGAAAUAAUUUCUAUACUUAUAAAUUUGUUGAGGUUUGUAUUAUGCCCUAGUAUGUGGUCAGUCCUGGAGAAUGUUCCAUGUGCACUUGAAAAGAAUAUGUAUUCUGGAGGGAUUUUUUGGAUGUAAUGUCCUGAAAAUAUCGACUAAGUUUAACUGUGCUAUUGUAUUAUUUAGGAUCUCUCUUGCCUUAUUGAUUUUCUGUCCAGAAGAUAAGAGUGGGAUGUUUUAAGUCUCCUACUAUUAUUGUAUUUCCAUCAACUUCUCCCUUUAAAUCUGUUAGUAUUUAUGUAUUUGGGUGCUCCUAUAUUAGGUACAUAUAUGUUCAUGAAAAAAACUUGUGCGUGUAUGUAAAAUUCUCUUCUUGUAUUGAUCCUUUUAUUAUUUGUGUCCUUUUUCAUCUUUCUUUAUGGCCUUUGUUUUAAAGUCUGUUUCAUCUGAGUAUUGCGGCCCCUGCUUUCUUGUCACGUCCAUUGGCACGAAAUUUCUUUUUCCAUCCUCUCGCAUUCAAUCCAUGUGUGUCCUUUGCCCUAAAGUGGGUCUCUUGUAGCAGCAUAAUGUAGGCAAUCUUUUUUUUUUAAAUUUAAUUUGCCACUCUGUGUCUUUUAACUGGAGCAUUUAGUCCUUUGACAUUUAAGGUAAUUAUUGAUAUGUAUUUAUUGUCAGUUUAAACCCUGUCUUCCAGUUGAUUUGUGUUUCUUCAUUCUUUUUCCUUUUAUGAUUUUAUGAUUUAUUUUUAUUUUUGUGUUUUUAUUUUAUAAUUUAUUUUUAUUUUUUGUGUCUGCACCUAUGGCGUAUGGAAGUUCCCAGGUCAGGGACUGAAUCCUAGCCACAGCUGCAACCUACACUGCAGCUGCAGCAAUGCUGGAUCCUUUAACACACUGUGCCAGGCUGGGGAUCAAACCCACGCCUCUGCAGCUGCCUGAGCCACUGUUGUUGGAUUCUUAAAUCACUAUGCCAUAGCAGGAAUUCCUUUUUGUUUUUGUGAAUGUAUUUUAUGUUUCUCUUUUGUGGUUACCUUGUUUUUUAAGUAUGUUAACCCCUUUCUAUAUCUACUUACUUUGAUAGUCAUAUAGGUUUAAACACAUG